rnacentral:lncRNA from 1 species
GAUGAUCAACUGAGGCAUAAUUUACCAUUUAGAGUAUUACAUACUGUUAAAACAUAAUGGGAGAACAACUUGUAUUGAGAAUGAUCCACAAGGAAAGAGAAUGGCAAAACUCUCAAGUUCACCAAGACUCGUCUGCUAGUCUCAUGGUUAGGAUUUCAAUCUCACAAUUACCAUUUCACAUAUUUGAAUCUCCAUGAGCACUAGCAACAACCAUUGAUGCACAAGUUUUCAAAUGCUUGAAGAAGACAUGUGCUUGUUCUUCUAUCCUCCAAAAAUUUCAAAUUCAUGAAUUAGUCAACUAUAGGAAGCUUUCGGAUGAAACCGGGCCCAUAUCCUAAAAUUCAAAACAGAGGCAAUAAAAUAAUAAGAGAGAGCAUAGGGGAGUUGAAUUACCAAGAGACAAAUGUGUAAUUAAGUAUUUGCUUAGAUGCAUUUACUGUUUUAUAUUUUUAAAAGGAGAAAAUAGCUUGUUUAUAUAAAAUACAAAAAAAAUUAAAGACUUACAUUCACAUGAUAAUAGUUUUAAAAAUUGUUUAAAAUUUUGAAGUAUUAAAAAUGUUUUCUUACCUCAAAUUUUAAAAUUUUUUGAUGUAAUUUUAAAAAAAAUAAAAGGUAAGUCUACUUUUUGUACAAGAGUUUCUACUUUUUAUAUAGAAAUAAUUCUUAUUUUUGUUUUUUUCUCUCUUAAAAGUAUAUCUAAACAAGAUCAAAGACUGCAUUAAAACUUCAUCUUGUCAUAAUGAAUAUACCGUCUAAAGUAAGCCACUAAAUAAUAUGAAUCCUUUGCUCUUUACCACCUCAUUGUAGAUUGAAAUUUCAAAUUUGUGCUCGAUUCCAAGGCUUUUGAGAAGGAUUCCUCACUCCCAAGAGUACUUUAGAAGAUGAAUCCCUAUGUUAAUUGCAAAAAAACAUCUAGUGAGUAAUAAUGUGAAUUCAUCCUAUUCUUAAGACAAACUUUGUCACAAGUAUCUAUAGUACGAAUGCUCACAAAUUAUCAAACUUACAAUUAUUCAUGUGAAGGAAAAUCCACCCAAAGUAUCCUGAUUUCUCAAAAACAGAGUCAAUUAGGAAUAUGACCUGGUUGUAGGAG